CCUACGGGGAGCAGCAGUCGAGAAUCAUUCACAAUGGGGGAAACCCUGAUGGAGCGACGCCGCGUGGGGGAAUGAAGGUCUGCGGAUUGUAAACCCCUGUCAUGUGGGAGCAAAUUAAAAAGAUAGUACCACAAGAGGAAGAGACGGCUAACUAUGGGCCAGCAGCCGCGGUAAUACAGAGGUCUCAAGCGUUGUUCGGAAUCACUGGGCGUAAAGCGGGCGUAGGCUGUUUCGUAAGUCGUGUGUGAAAGGCGCGGGCUCAACCCGCGGACGGCACAUGAGACUGCGAGACUUGAGUAGUGGAGGGGGAACCGGAAUGCUCGGUGUAGCAGUGAAAUGCGUAGAUAUCGAGAGGAACACUCGUGGCGAAGGCGGGUUCCUGGACAUUAACUGACGCUGAGGCACGAAGGCCAGGGGAGCGAAAGGGAUUAGAUACCCCAGUAGUC
rnacentral:rRNA from 1 species